rnacentral:rRNA from 1 species
UACGUAGGAGACGAGCGUUGUCCGGAGUUACUGGGCGUAAAGGGUGCGCAGGUGGCGGCGCGCGUGGGGGGUGAAAUCGCCCGGCUUAACUGGGCGGGGGCCUUCCAGACGGCGUGGCUUGAGCAGCGGAGGGGGACGUGGAAUUCCCGGUGGAGUGGUGAAAUGCGUAGAUAUCGGGAGGAACACCAGAGGCGAAGGCGGCCGACUGGGCUGUACCUGACGCUGAGGCGCGAAAGCGUGGGGAGCGAACCGG